ensembl:lncRNA
GUUUAGUCUGUGUCUAGAACUAGCUUUAGAUGUUUAGUCUGUGUCUAGAACUAGCUUUAGAUGUUUAGUCUGUGUCUAGAACAAGCUUUAGAUGUUUAGUCUGUGUCUAGAACUAGCUUUAGAUGUUUAGUUCAGAACUAGCUUUAGAUGUUUAGUCUGUGUCUGGAACUAGCUUUAGAUGUUUAGUCUGUAACUAGCUUUAGAUGUUUAGUCUGUGUCUAGAACUAGCUUUAGAUUUUUAGUCUGUGUCUAGAACUAGCUUUAGAUGUUUAGUCUAGAACUAGCUUUAGAUGUUUAGUCUGUGUCUAGAACUAGCUUUAGAUGUUUAGUCUGUAACUAGCUUUAGAUGUUUAGUCUGUGUAUAGAACUAGCUGUAGAUGUUUA